rnacentral:rRNA from 1 species
AGAACGAACGCUGGCGGCAUGCCUAACACAUGCAAGUCGAACGUGAUCCAGGCUUCGGCCUGGUGAAAGUGGCAGACGGGUGAGUAACGCGUGGGAACCUGCCCUGUGGUAGGGAAUAACCGUGGGAAACUGCGGCUAAUACCCUAUGAGUCCUUCGGGAGAAAGAUUUAUCGCCAUAGGAGGGGCCCGCGUCGGAUUAGGUAGUUGGUGGGGUAACGGCCUACCAAGCCUUCGAUCCGUAGCUGGUCUGAGAGGAUGAUCAGCCACACUGGGACUGAGAUACGGCCCAGACUCCUACGGGAGGCAGCAGUGGGGAAUAUUGGACAAUGGGGGCAACCCUGAUCCAGCAAUGCCGCGUGGAUGAUGAAGGCCUUCGGGUUGUAAAGUCCUUUCGGCGGGAAGAUGAUGACGGUACCGCAGAGAAGCCCCGGCUAACUUCGUGCCAGCAGCCGC